AUUGAACGCUGGCGGCAUGCCUUACACAUGCAAGUCGAACGGCAGCACGGGGGCAACCCUGGUGGCGAGUGGCGAACGGGUGAGUAACACAUCGGAACGUACCCAGUUGUGGGGGAUAACCAGUCGAAAGACUGGCUAAUACCGCAUGAUCUGGCGACAGCAAAGCGGGGGAUCGCAAGACCUCGCGCGAUUGGAGCGGCCGAUGUCCGAUUAGCUAGUUGGNGGGGUAAAGGCCCACCAAGGCUUUGAUCGGUAGCUUUUGGCUGAGAGGAUGAUCAGCCACACUGGGACUGAGACACGGCCCAGACUCCGUACGGGAGGCAGCAGUGGGGAAUUUUGGACAAUGGGGGCAACCCUGAUCCAGCCAUGCCGCGUGAGUGAAGAAGGCC
rnacentral:rRNA from 1 species